rnacentral:rRNA from 1 species
AUUGAACGCUGGCGGCAUGCUUUACACAUGCAAGUCGAACGGUAACAGGCCGCAAGGUGCUGACGAGUGGCGAACGGGUGAGUAAUGCAUCGGAACGUGCCCAGUCGUGGGGGAUAACUGCCCGAAAGAGCAGCUAAUACCGCAUACGAUCUAUGGAUGAAAGCGGGGGACCGUAAGGCCUCGCGCGAUUGGAGCGGCCGAUGUCAGAUGAGGUAGUUGGUGGGGGAAAGGCUCACCAAGCCAACGAUCUGUAGCUGGUCUGAGAGGACGACCAGCCACACUGGGACAGGGACAAGGCCCAGACUCCUACGGGAGGCAGCAGUGGGGAAUUUUGGACAAUGGGGGCAACCCUGAUCCAGCAAUGCGGCGUGCAGGAAGAAGGCCUUCGGGUUGUAAACUGCUUUUGUACGGAACGAAACGGUCUGGGUUAAUACCCUGGGCUAAUGACGGUACCGUAAGAAUAAGCACCGGCUAACUACGUGCCAGCCGCCGCAGUAAGAC